GGGCUGCUGGUGAAGUGGAGAUCACACCCUACAUCUAGUGGCACCAUUUGGGGUGUCACAUUUUGGGUAGGGAGACGUGGGUUCAAUUCCCGCGCAGUCCA
rnacentral:tRNA from 1 species